rnacentral:tRNA from 1 species
GGUAGAUUGGCCGAGAGCUAGGCGGCGGAUUGUAGCUCCGAUUACAGAGGUUUAAUUCCUCUUUCUACCA